rnacentral:rRNA from 1 species
AGUCGAACGGACCAGGGACUUUCGGGUCCCUGGUUAGUGGCGCACGGGUGCGUAACGCGUAUGCAACCUACCUUCCACUGGGGGAUAGCCCCGGGAAACCGGGAUUAAUACCGCAUAACACAACAGUCUGGCAUCAGGCAAUUGUUAAAGUUUCGGCGGUGGAAGAUGGGCAUGCGUGCCAUUAGCUUGUUGGCGGGGUAACGGCCCACCAAGGCGACGAUGGCUAGGGGUUCUGAGAGGAUGGUCCCCCACACUGGUACUGAGACACGGACCAGACUCCUACGGGAGGCAGCAGUAGGGAAUAUUGGGCAAUGGCCGCGAGGCUGACCCAGCCAUGCCGCGUGCAGGAAGAAGGCCUUCUGGGUUGUAAACUGCUUUUAUCUGGGAAGAAAACGCCCCUGCGGGGGUAACUGACGGUACCAGAUGAAUAAGCACCGGCUAACUCCGUGCCAGCAGCCGCGGUAAUACGGAGGGUGCAAGCGUUGUCCGGAUUUAUUGGGUUUAAAGGGUGCGUAGGCGGCCCGUUAAGUCAGCGGUGAAAUCCCAGGGCUCAACCCUGGAACUGCCGUUGAUACUGGCGGGCUUGAGUUCGGUCGAGGCGGGCGGAACUGGGCGUGUAGCGGUGAAAUGC